rnacentral:rRNA from 1 species
GACGAACGCUGGCGGCGUGCUUAACACAUGCAAGUCGAACGGAAAGGCCCUGCUUUUGUGGGGUGCUCGAGUGGCGAACGGGUGAGUAACACGUGAGUAACCUGCCCUUUACUUUGGGAUAACUUCAGGAAACUGGGUCUAAUACCGGAUAGUAGCUCCUGCUGCAUGGUGGGGGUUGGAAAGUUUCGGCGGUUGGGGAUGGACUCGCGGCUUAUCAGCUUGUUGGUGGGGUAGUGGCUUACCAAGGCUUUGACGGGUAGCCGGCCUGAGAGGGUGACCGGCCACAUUGGGAAUGAGAUACGGCCCAGACUCCUACGGGAGGCAGCAGUGUAGAAUAUGGCACAAUGGGAGGAAGCCUGAUGCAGAAACGCCGCGUGCGGGAUGACGGACUUCAGGUUGUAAACCGCUUUCGCCUGUGACGAAGCGAGAGUGACGGUAAUGGGUAAAGAAGAACCGGAUAACUACAUG